UCCCAAGCUACAAAGGGCCAACGGUGGAUGCCUUGGCGCCAGAUGCCGAUGAAGGACGUGGGUGGCUGCGAAAAGCCACGGGGAGCUGCCGACCAAGCUUUGAUCCGUGGAUCUCCGAAUGGGGAAACCCGGCUGGGGUCAUGCCCAGUCACCCCGGUCUGAACACAUAGGGCCGGUGGAGGGAACCGGGGGAAUUGAAACAUCUCAGUACCCCGAGGAAAGGAAAGCAAUAGCGACUCCCUGAGUAGCGGCGAGCGAAACGGGAUGAGCCUAAACCGUCACAGUGGUACAGCCUGCCGGCGAUGCUGCGACGGGGUUGUGGGACCCACCUGGGGCUGCGGCAGAGGCCCCGAGGAGUUACAAAGUCGAUGGCUAGUGGAAGCACUCUGGAAAGGUGCGCCGCAGAGGGUAAGAGCCCCGUACGCGAAAGUCAGCGACCUCCUGGUGGUGUUCCCGAGUAGCACGGAAUCCGGGAAAGUCCGUGUGAAUCUGCGAGGACCACCUCGUAAGGCUAAGCACAGUCUGGCGACCGAUAGUGCACGAGUACCGUGAGGGAAGGGUGAAAAGUACCCCGGGAGGGGAGUGAAAUAGUACCUGAAACCGUUGGCCUACAAGCAGUCAGAGCGUCGUCAGCGGGCUCCGGCCCGUUGGCCGUGAUGGCGUGCCUUUUGAAGAAUGAGCCGGCGAGUUACCGUUCGUGGCGAGGUUAACCCGAGAGGGGGAGCCGGAGCGAAAGCGAGUCUGAACAGGGCGUUCAGUCGCGAGUGGUAGACCCGAAGCCGAGUGAUCUAGCCAUGGGCAGGCUGAAGCGGGGGUAAGACCUCGUGGAGGGCCGAACCCACCAAGGUUGAAAACUUGGGGGAUGACCUGUGGUUAGGGGUGAAAGGCCAAGCAAACUCGGUGAUAGCUGGUUCUCCCCGAAAUGCAUUUAGGUGCAGCGUCGUGCGUUCAGUUCCGGAGGUAGAGCACUGGAUGGCCUAGGGGGCCCACAAGCUUACCGACGCCAGCCAAACUCCGAAUGCCGGUGACUCCACAGCACGGCAGUGAGACCAUGGGGGAUAAGCUUCAUGGUCGAGAGGGAAACAGCCCAGAACGCCAGCUAAGGCCCCAAAUUCUGUGCUCAGUGGUAAAGGAUGUGGGAUUGCCCAGACAGCCAGGAGGUUGGCUUAGAAGCAGCCACCCUUGAAAGAGUGCGUAACAGCUCACUGGUCGAGUGAUCCUGCGCCGACAAUGUAACGGGGCUCAAGCACAGAGCCGAAGCUGCGUCAUGCGCAAGCAUGGGUAGGGGAGCGUCGAUCUCUGCUGUGAAGCGGACGCGUGAGCGUUCGUGGAGCGUGGUCGAGUGCGAAUGCCGGUAUGAGUAGCGAAAGAGGGGGGAGGAACCCCUCCGCCGGAUGCCCAAGGGUUCCUGGGGAAGGCUCAUCCGCCCAGGGUUAGUCGGGAGCUAAGGCGAGGCCGACAGGCGUAGUCGAUGCACAACAGGUUGAUAUUCCUGUACCACCGUGUCCGCGCCCAACCCAAUCCGGGUUGCUAAGGGGCUGGCCCUUCGGGGCCGAACCGACCCAUCCGGUGACGGGUAGCGAAGGGGGGACGCAGGAGGGUAGGUCAGCCCGGGCGCUGGUUGUCCCGGGGUAAGCGUGUAGAGGGUCCGAUAGGUAAAUCCGUCGGGCGUAACCUCGAGACGCGAUGCCGAACCGUUUCAGGUGAAGUGACUGAUCCCACGCUGCCGAGAAAAGCCUCUAGCGAGCUGGCACGGUGCCCGUACCCCAAACCGACUCAGGUGGGCACGUAGAGAAUACGAAGGCGAUCGGGAUAACUCUGGUUAAGGAACUCGGCAAAUUGCCCCCGUAACUUCGGGAGAAGGGGGGCCUCGGUAGGGUGAAGGACCUCGCGUCCGGAGCUCGAGGAGGCCGCAGAGACCAGGGCCAAGCGACUGUUUACUAAAAACACAGGUGCGUGCGAAGUCGUAAGACGAUGUAUACGCACUGACGCCUGCCCGGUGCCGGAAGGUUACGGGGAAGGGUUAGCCGCAAGGCGAAGCUCUGAACCUAAGCCCCGGUAAACGGCGGCCGUAACUAUAACGGUCCUAAGGUAGCGAAAUUCCUUGUCGGGUAAGUUCCGACCUGCACGAAUGGCGUAACGACUUGGCCACUGUCUCAACCAGAGACCCGGCGAAAUUGCACUACGAGUAAAGAUGCUCGUUUCCCGCGGCAGGACGGAAAGACCCCGUGGACCUUUACUGCAAUCUGAUGUUGGGUUUCGGUACGGAUUGUGUAGGAUAGGUGGGAGCCAUGGAAGCCAGGGCGUCAGCCUUGGUGGAGGCAACGUUGAAAUACCACCCUGUUCGUGCUGGGGCUCUAACCCGGGCCCGUGAUCCGGGUCGGGGACAGCGUCAGGUGGGCAGUUUGACUGGGGCGGUCGCCUCCCAAAGUGUAACGGAGGCGCCCAAAGGUUCCCUCAGCCUGGUUGGCCAUCAGGCGUCGAGUGCAAAGGCACAAGGGAGCUUGACUGCGAGACCUACAAGUCGAGCAGGUGCGAAAGCAGGGCUUAGUGACCCGGCCGUAGCGUGUGGAAGCGCGGUCGAUCAACGGAUAAAAGGUACCCCGGGGAUAACAGGCUUAUCUUGCCCAAGAGUCCACAUCGACGGCAAGGUUUGGCACCUCGAUGUCGGCUCGUCGCAUCCUGGAGCUGAAGCAGGUUCCAAGGGUUGGGCUGUUCGCCCAUUAAAGCGGUACGCGAGCUGGGUUUAGAACGUCGUGAGACAGUUCGGUCCCUAUCCGCCGUGGGCGUAGGAGACUUGAGAGGAGCUGUCCCUAGUACGAGAGGACCGGGACGGACGCAGCUCUCGUGUGCCAGUUGUUCCGCCAGGAGCACGGCUGGUUGGCGACCUGCGGAAAGGAUAAGCGCUGAAAGCAUCUAAGCGCGAAGCCCGCCUCGAGACGAGGUCUCCCACCGGGUUAACCGGGUAAGGCCCCUGGUAGACGACCAGGUUGAUAGGCCGGAGGUGUACGCAGGGUGACCUGUUCAGCCGACCGGUACUAAUCGGCCGAGGGCUUGGGAUC
rnacentral:rRNA from 1 species